CUAUACAUGACUCUGCGCAUAUCAAUAAGCGGAGGAAAAGAAACUAACAAGGAUUCCCCUUAGUAACGGCGAGUGAAGCGGGAAGAGCUCAAAUUCGAAAUCUUCAAGGGUCUUACCUUUACGAAUUGUAGUUUAAAGAAGUGUUUUCUGUUGGAGUUUCGGUAAAAGUUCUUUGGAAUAGGACAUCAUAGAGGGUGAGAAUCCCGUAUUUGACCAGUUACUUUCCAGCUGUGUGAUACACUUUCAAAGAGUCGGAUUGUUUGGGAAUGCAGUCCAGAAUGGGUGGUAAAUUUCAUCUAAAGCUAAAUAUUGGCGAGAGACCGAUAGCGAACAAGUACCGUGAGGGAAAGAUGAAAAGAACUUUGAAAAGAGAGUUAAACAGUACGUGAAAUUGUCAAAAGGGAAGCGUUUGACACCAGUGUUGUUUAGUUGAAAAUCAAUUCAAUAAUUUUUGAUUUUAAGUAGUAUUGACUUCAUCAGCUUGCUGCUUUCUUUUCAGGAAUUAUUGAAUGCACUUUUCAGUUAACAAGUCAACAUCAAUUUCUUUUGUUGUAAAAGGGUAAGAGGAAGGUGGCUUACGCUUCAGCGUAAGUGUUUAUAGCCUUUUACCUCUGCAAUCGGAGAGAUUGAGGACAGCAGCGUAGACUCUUCGGGGUUAGAUACACUUGUGCUAAGCUAUAGCCUUGUAUAGACAACUUGUUGACUAUGCUCAGUCAUGUAGCUUACUCGCUUGUGCUAUUUUACCUACGCUUAGGAUGUUGACACACGCGCGUGCUCG
rnacentral:rRNA from 1 species